AAGUUCUCUGAGGUAACACCGCGGAGCCACAAUCGAGUUCUCAGUGACUCUUUCAGCUCUGAGGAAGGUCCCUGGACCCGUGGCAGAAAGUGCCGUAGCUUAACCACUAUUAUCCUCCAUCAUCUCACGAAUAGAAAAGGAAGCUUCGGCUGAUUUUUCGUGAUACGGAUGCGAGAGUAUUGGUCCAAGCAAAGUAAUGUGUAAAAAUGGCGUUAGUCUUUCUCUUUCAGAGAAAAGAAUUACGCACAUUGAACCAAACAGGGCCUAUCAGAUCAGAAAACU
rnacentral:RNase_MRP_RNA from 1 species